GAUGAACGCUGGCGGCGUGCCUAACACAUGCAAGUCGAGCGAUUUACUUCGGUAAAGAGCGGCGGACGGGUGAGUAACGCGUGGGUAACCUGCCCUAUACAUACGGAUAACAUACCGAAAGGUAUGCUAAUACGAAAUAACAUAAGAAAUUCGCAUGGAUUUUUUAUCAAAGCGUUAGCGGUAUAGGAUGGACCCGCGUCUGAUUAGCUAGUUGGUAAGGUAAUGGCUUACCAAGGCGACGAUCAGUAGCCGACCUGAGAGGGUGAUCGGCCACAUUGGAACUGAGACACGGUCCAAACUCCUACGGGAGGCAGCAGUGGGGAAUAUUGCACAAUGGGCGAAAGCCUGAUGCAGCAACGCCGCGUGAGCGAUGAAGGCCUUCGGGUCGUAAAGCUCUGUCCUCAAGGAAGAUAAUGACGGUACUUGAGGAGGAAGCCCCGGCUAACUACGUGCCAGCAGCCGCAGUAAUAC
rnacentral:rRNA from 1 species